rnacentral:rRNA from 1 species
UUGCCCUAGUAACGGCGAGUGAAGCGGCAACAGCUCAAAUUUGAAAUCUGGCUCUCUUUGGGGGUCCGAGUUGUAAUUUGCAGAGGAUGCUUUGGCAUUGGCGGCGGUCUAAGUUCCUUGGAACAGGACAUCGCAGAGGGUGAGAAUCCCGUACGUGGGCGCCUGCCUUUGCCGUGUAAAGCUCCUUCGACGAGUCGAGUUGUUUGGGAAUGCAGCUCUAAAUGGGAGGUAAAUUUCUUCUAAAGCUAAAUACCGGCCAGAGACCGAUAGCGCACAAGUAGAGUGAUCGAAAGAUGAAAAGUACUUUGGAAAGAGAGUCAAAAAGCACGUGAAAUUGUUGAAAGGGAAGCGCUUGCAGCCAGACUUGCCCGCAGUUGCUCACCUAGGCUUUGGCCUGGGGCACUCUUCUGCGGGCAGGCCAGCAUCAGUUUGGGCGGUUGGAUAAAGGCCUCUGUCACGUAUCUUCCUUCGGGAUGACCUUAUAGGGGAGGCGUAAUGCAACCAGCCCGGACUGAGGUCCGCGCAUCUGCUAGGAUGCUGGCGUAAUGGCUGUAAGCGGCCCGUCUUGAAACACGGACCAAGGAGUCUAACAUCUAUGCGAGUGUUUGGGUGUCAAGCCCGGGCGCGCAAUGAAAGUGAACGGAGGUGGGAACCCUUUGGGUGCACCAUCGACCGAUCCUGAUGUCUUCGGAUGGAUUUGAGUAAGAGCAUAGCUGUUGGGACCCGAAAGAUGGUGAACUAUGCUUGAAUAGGGUGAAGCCAGAGGAAACUCUGGUGGAGGCUCGCAGCGGUUCUGACGUGCAAAUCGAUCGUCAAAUUUGGGCAUAGGGGCGAAAGA